UCGAGUAGAGCCCGGAUUUAGGGUUAAAAUGACCCAAAAACCUUCAAAAAUUAAUGAGAAGCACCCUAGAACUCAAGAAUCCAUUCGGUUUCCGGCCACCGAUCCUCGGCGGUGGCUUCCUCGGUCGUCCACGAUGUUGGAAAACUGAACACCGGUAAGAUCCUUCCCUCUUUCCCUUUUUUUAUAUUUUUUACAAGUUUUUUUCUUUGUUAAAAAUAUUUGUAAAAUAGAUAAAACGAACGAAUAAAAAGAAGAUCAAAAAAAUAAAAAUAAGGACAAACACCUUUUGAUCUUGUUUUCUCCUUUUGAUUUCUCCCAAAAGUCUCUGUAAUACAACCCCCUCUAAUACAAUCUCUUCUCUCCCCAAAAUACAAUCUAUUCUUCCUCAAAAUACCAUCGAUCCCCUCCCCCCUUUACAAUCGGUUCUAGUAUGGCUUUUAUAGCCAUUUACAAACUUUAUUAUAUAUAUUUGCUAUCUUUUCUUCUUCUUGUAUGGCAGGCAAACGGUGGUGGAGGCAUGUGCCACUUGGUAGUGGUUGGAAGUGGGUGGUUGAGGCUUGCGGCUAGGG
rnacentral:lncRNA from 1 species